rnacentral:tRNA from 1 species
CCCUGGGUGGUCAAAUGGUUAAGGCACUUGGUUGUUAACUGAAAGGUUGGUGGUUCAAGCCCACCCACAGGCA